ensembl:misc_RNA Metazoa_SRP Metazoan signal recognition particle RNA
GCCAGGCAUGGUGGCUCAUGCCUGUAAUCCCAGCAUUUUGGGAGGCUGAGGUGGGCGGAUCACCUGAGGUCAGGAGUUCGAGACCAGCCUGGCCAACAUGGUGAAACCCCGUCUCUG